rnacentral:misc_RNA from 1 species
AGAGAGAGAGAGAGAGAUAGAGGGCGGAUGGGGGAUGCUGGCUCAAUGUGAUGGAUUAAGAAAACUUGUUGGGCGUGACACUUGAUGUCCUUUCAAGACACCUGGGAUCAAGUCUUACUACCUCUUUUAUAGGUUGUUCGAUGAAUGGGAAGGUUAGGAUAGUGAAGAAAACUUAACUUGGUUUAGAACUUAUUUUUUAUUUACAAGGCAUAUAUGGAACUUUAGUAGGUUUUUAGUAUGGUAGAUUGCUGCGUGAGAAGCUCAUAUGCGGUUUGAUGUGGAAACUCACCAUUAAGAGGUUUCCACUUUCCACUAAUAUAAAACAAGUUGAGUUGACAAAAUUUGAAACUUCGCAACUUCAGAGUUGGAUGACAGUUUACUAUUUUCAGCACUGAAACACUUGUUCUACAUUUUUCUGUAGAGAUGAACUAAAAAUAAAACUAGAAAUGUAUUUUGUGCACAUAAGCAUACCCCUUAAUUCAACUGUUCUUGAGAGAAUAAAUAGUUUGGAAAAUCAAUGUAAGUGCUGUUGGUUCGGCAUCAAAUCAUUCAAGUAGCAACAUUUUACAGAAAGGAUUUAGGUACAAAAAUUCUCAUGACAUUUCUUAUGUUGUUCAUCAAAUUUGGGGUACAUCUAUCUACUUGCUUCUGUUGAGGAUUGCUAUGCCCAGUUUUGUUUUCAGAUUAGAUGAAUUCUACUUUCAAAAUUCUAAGAUGAAAGAUAUGUAGCUAAACCAUAUUGUUGAUGUUGUCUAGGGUAGAGGGCUUAAGAUAUUUAUUUGGCUCACUGCCUUACUCAUUGUUAUUUUAUUUGCUUGGUAAAAAAUGUUUGGAUUAACUUGGUUUUUUUGUUUGUUGGUACUAUAAAUUGACAGUGGCUGAACAAAAGUUUAUAUUCUCUCUACAGUUUGUAGAUAAUGAUAGAUGUAUAAUAAUAUUCAUAGUUUGUAAAUUGAUAUAUAAGAGUGUAUCUCAGAAGAUGAACAAAAAAUGUAUAAAUUUUUGCAGAUGGAUAAUAGUUCUAUUAAAUCUGAGAAUAUUGGUACUCUAUAAUUGAUACAAGAAAUGGCAGUGUUCGAAUGCAGAAGGCUGAAUUGGGGCUUUAGGAAUGGUCAGAAAAAGGGGUUUUUUCUGUGUUUUGAAGUUUGAACUUGUAACCUCCAUGUUGCAAUGGAGCAACUUUAUUUUUGCACCAAGGUUCACCCUCUUAUAUUUUUACAUGUAUUUCUCAAAUGUUGAGUGGAUAGAAAUAUACAAUUCCACUCAAAGCAACUGUCCAGAUUGCAGACAUGGUAUUAUUUUUGUAUUGGUAUUUUUUCCCCUCAAACUAAACAUGCUGAACAAGGAAAAUUAAAAUUAUGCUAUGUUCAUAAUGGCUCUAUACUAUAUCUUUAUAUAGAUUUAACAUAAUCCAUGCUAUGAAAUUCACAUAAACUUUCAUCUCAUCAGUAAACACAAAAAAUAAGACUACUAUACCAUAGAAAUGAUGCCUAGAGAAUAACUAAAAGCUUUGCAUGUGUAUUGUGACCAAAAAAAAAAAAGUUACUAUUUUUAUAUUGCAUUCUAUUAAUGAUUUUAAAAUCCAUUCUUUAAGGCCUUGCUUACAAGCUUGAGAUGUUAGAUUGAGAAGAAAUAUCCUACACUGGAAAUACAUGGACAAAGCGAGGGACAUAUAAGGAAAUCACCAUGGACUCUCCUGUUCAUAUUUCAUCAUUUUAUAUAUUAUUUCCUUUGUUUUAGGUUUAAUGAAUUUGGGGUUGAUGGGGGACCAGCAGCGAAGACUCUCAAACCAAAGCUUGAUGUGUUUACAAGCCAUGUCCACUCUCAUGCGGGCGUACAUGUACCAGAAAUUGAAAUCAAACAGUUAAUCACUACAGCUAUAGUUGUCAAGGGCAUUGGAGGCAUCCUUUUCAUUUUUGGCAGUUCUUUUGGAGCCUGUCUCCUGCUUCUGCAUCAGAUAAUUGCUACUCCAAUAUUAUAUGAUUUCUACAAUUAUGACAGUGAAGAGAAAGAAUUUAAUCAACUUUUUAUCAAAUUCACACAGGUUAGUGUUCCUAUUUCUCUUUGUUGUUUCUUUGUGUUGGAUUAUAUCCUCAAUCGUUGUCUUUUGUACUGUUUACACGAAAUAUUAAAAUCUAUGCAGAAUAUGGCACUUUUUGGGGCUCUACUGUUUUUCAUAGGGAUGAAGAACUCAAUUCCCAAAAGACAUCACAAAAAGAAGGUUCUCAAAACAAAAACUUAUUAGAAACAAAUGGCCAUUAAUUGGUAGGGAUCUUGUUCAAAGAGGAGCUUACUGGGGUAAUUUCCUUUUCUUUUUUGGGUUCUUGAAACUCAUUUCAUAAUUCACUAGGAUCUUCUUCUGUGUAUGGAUAGGUGCCUUUUUAUUUAUUGUUUUAAAGAAAAAUAUACCCCCUCAUGUAGUGCAUUUCUUCCCCACAUUUCAUGGGGAUAUAUUAUAUUUAUGAAUCUUACAGUUUUUAUGUUUUGUUAACAUAAGAUGUAGUUUCACUUUUAUUCUAUAUUAAAAGAGGGAAGGGACCAGUGCCUACUUCAUUUAGCUGACUUGCUAAAGCAUUAGUGUUCGACUGCAAUGGUUUAACUGACACAGGCCAAAAGCUUGAGCUAUGAGCUAAAAGAAAUCUUUCUAUUCAACUCAAUUCAACAAGUUAGUUCUAAUUCUGUAAAAUUGGGGCCAAUUGUAUGGAUAAUUGUCCUUCAUCCUAUUUAGUUUAGGGUUUCAUCUAUGGAAAAAAUCUUUUGCUAAAUCUUUUCGCUAUAUUCUGCAUCUUCAUCUUAGCAGUAUGAAAUGGGAGUUUGUCAUAGAUUAACGAGUAUUUUGUGUCAAGUCAAAAUGGUUUGAAGUAGCUCUCUACUCUAACUUGUGAUCUCUUCUCUGUCGUUCAUUCUUUAUCACUAGAGCAGUACAAUGAAAUACUUUUGCAAGCUUGUUCUUGAAGUGAACAAGCUAAAUAUUAUCACCGAUUUAAGGUUGAUUCAUUUUUAAUUUUAUUUUUAAAAAAUUCUCAAUCACAUAUUGUCAUCCAUGCGAGAUAUUUGCUUGUGAAGCUUGGGGCCCAGGUACUCAUGGAUAUGUCUUAGUUGUAGGAUCCAGGUAAUCUUUGGAACAUUGGUUGAUUAAUUAUAACCACUUAUUGGCCUGUAAUUUCUGAUUGUUUGGUUUUCAAAUGUUUUUUCCUUCCUCUUUUUUUCAGUUGCUUUCGUUGCUUGCUAAUUAUACUGACAUGGGUGAGUUUGCCCCUUUCUUGGUGUUUUGGGUAUUGAACUCUUUAUUUUGUUUCUAUUUCCCUUGUUUUGUUCUUUAGUCUUGUUUUUUGUCCAGCUCAAGCAUUGUAGAUUCUACUGUGGACCUUGUGGUUUGUGAUUGCUACGACCCAUAAAGCAAAAUUGUCAUAUUUAAAAAUAAACCAUUUUCUGUUCUUUUUUUCAAAAACUAAAAAGACAAGAAAAUCUUGAUGAUGUCUGUGGAUUGUGACUGCUCUAGGAAAUUCAUAUUACUGAAUACCCAAGAUGUUUGCACUACUGUUAUCCAUUUGUUUUUGAAGUACUUGUACCAGAUGAAUGCAUGUCCACUCCUUUGCCAUUGUCUUUAUGUGUACAAACAAAAUGCUUCCUAGAUUUUUUAUUUUUUUAAUAUAUCAGAAAUUUCUGGACUAGAG